UCCUGAAAAACCUGUGAUACAACCUCAGAGAGGUUGUAUAGUUAAUUCUGAUCUUCCUUUGAAGAUAAUAUUUCAGACAGAGGAGGUAGGUGGCAGAGGAAGACUGCAGCUUGAGAGAGUAAGUGUCUCGAUGCAAGGAAACCAGAAAAUCAUAUUUUCAGCAGAGCACAAACAGAGAACUUAGUCCUCACAGCUGCAAA
rnacentral:lncRNA from 1 species